ACCCAGCUCCCAGAGCACAGAGGAAGAUGAAGGCGGCUGCGCUUAGCCUCGUGAUGCUCCUCGCUGCCCUGUGCCACACAGUGGAAGCUCAGCCACUUGUGCAAGAGCAGACUGAUGAGGAUCUUCUUCAGGCAUUGCCGUCUGAUGCUGUUGAAUUUCUUCCUCUUGUCGAUCUCACCAGUGCAGAGGAGAAUCUCCUGCGUGUGAGACGUGUGGCCCUGGAUCUGCGUGUCUAGGGACAAGGCUUCUCCUCACCGCCAAUGCCCUUGGACAUCUUCUGAUGACCAGUGCUGCCCUCUAAUGACCAAUGACAGCCUCUGAUGACCGAUGAAGACCCUGAUGAUCAAUGACCCCCUCUGAUGAUCAUUAAAUCCCUCGGCAAAU
rnacentral:lncRNA from 7 species